CUCACUGCAGUAUGUGUGUACAUAAACUUGUCAGGUUUAAAGAUGUGGUGGGU
rnacentral:tRNA from 1 species